CAUAGCGACUAUCGUGGCAUAUCAAUAAGCGGAGGAAAAGAAACUAACAAGGAUUCCCCUUAGUAACGGCGAGUGAAGCGGGAAGAGCUCAAAUUUGAAAUCUUAAAGGGUUUCCCUUUACGAAUUGUAGUUUAAAGAAGUGUUUUCUGUUGGAGUUUCGGUAAAAGUUCUUUGGAAUAGGACAUCAUAGAGGGUGAGAAUCCCGUAUUUGACCGUUACUUUCCAGCUGUGUGAUACACUUUCAAAGAGUCGGAUUGUUUGGGAAUGCAGUCCAAAAUGGGUGGUAAAUUUCAUCUAAAGCUAAAUAUUGGCGAGAGACCGAUAGCGAACAAGUACCGUGAGGGAAAGAUGAAAAGAACUUUGAAAAGAGAGUUAAACAGUACGUGAAAUUGUCAAAAGGGAAGCGUUUGACACCAGUGUUGUUUAGUUGAAAAUCAAUUCAAUAAUUUUUGAUUUUGAGUAGUAUUGACUUCAUCAGCUUGCUGCUUUCUUUUCAGGAAUUAUUGAAUGCACUUUUCAGUUAACAAGUCAACAUCAAUUUCUUUUGUUGUAAAAGGGUAAGAGGAAGGUGGCUUACGCUUCGGCGUAAGUGUUUAUAGCCUUUUACCUCUGCAAUCGGAGAGAUUGAGGACAGCAGCGUAGACUCUUCGGGGUUAGAUACACUUGUGCUAAGCUAUAGCCUUGUAUAGACAACUUGUUGACUAUGCUUCAGUCAUGUAGCUUACUCGCUUAUGCUAUUUUACCUACGCUUAGGAUGUUGAUAUGCAUGACUGAUAU
rnacentral:rRNA from 1 species